UAUGAUAGAGGCUGCGGCUGACAAGAGUACCUGCGGAGCGUACAAGAAGGCUCCGAAGGGAAAGGGGAUGCCGCCGAAGGGCUGUUUUUCCGGUCUUCCCGGAUGGCAGCGCCUGGGACGCAGGGAAAUACCCUGCGGACUGUCGCGCUUCGUGCGCGGAGAGCUAUCGU
rnacentral:ncRNA from 1 species